UGGGGAAUCAUGGUCAAUGGGCGAAAGCCUGAACCUGCGACGCCGCGUGAGUGAUGAAGGUCGUAAGAUCGUAAAACUCUUUUCAGGGAUCUUAAAGCACAACCGUCAACAACGGCUGUGUGUGACUCUCCCUGGAAGAAGCCCCAGCCAACUACGGGCCAGCAGCGGCGGUAAUACGUAGGGGGCGAGCGUUAUUCGGAAUUACUGGGGGUAAAGGGUAUGUAGGCGGCCCUUCAAGUCGCGUGUCAAAGUC
rnacentral:rRNA from 1 species